UACAGAGACUGCAAGCGUUAUUCGGAUUCACUGGGCGUAAAGGGUGCGCAGGCGGCCAAGUGUGUGAGGCGUGAAAGCCCGGGGCUUAACCCCGGAAUUGCACCUCAAACUACAUGGCUAGAGCAUUGGAGAGGUAGCAGAAUUCAUGGUGUAGCAGUGAAAUGCGUAGAUAUCAUGAGGAAUACCAGAGGCGAAGGCGGCUACCUGGACAAAUUGCGUGACGCUCGAGGCACGAAAGCGUGGGAGCAAAAGGGC
rnacentral:rRNA from 1 species